CUUAUGUAUUUAGUAAAUGAUUUUGUCUCAGUCAAUGAAUAGAAUUCGACUUGCACCAAUCUCUUCAAGAUAUGCAGAUCUUUACGAGCCUUCUAGCCCUUCUCCUUAUCUCCACAUGUCUUGUAUUAUGUCAACACGAGAAUCAACAUAGCAAACAGCAACAACAAAGGUCCAUCAAUCAAGGUCGGAGUUUCGGGAGCUCUGGAGCUUUAGAAAUCGUGUCACAGGACUAUGCAUUGGGUCUAGUCCUAACUUUUUUCCUCGUUUUUGGAACUUUAACUAUUGCAAAUAGUAUUUUUCGUGAGGGGAAUUUAGUUAAUCAAUUAAUUAAGCCGGGGAUUGAUGAACAAGAACGAAUUUUAGCAUCACUUGAAAAAUAACGUUACGAACAUACAAUUAAUUUCAAAAACUUUUUGAAAAUGUAUUUAAAACCAAUUGUUAAUUUGUAUCGCAUCUAAUACCCAAUUAUAAUAAUAAAUAAAAUGAUGUAAUAGUCAUCAAUUUGAACCAAUGUACAUAUCUAUUAAU
rnacentral:misc_RNA from 1 species